rnacentral:rRNA from 1 species
CAGGUUUGAUCAUGGCUCAGGAUAAACGCUAGCGGCAGGCCUAACACAUGCAAGUCGAGGGGCAUCGGAUAGAGUACUUCGGUACUCUUGCCGGCGACCGGCGGACGGGUGCGUAACGCGUAUGCAACCUACCUUCAACAGGGGGAUAAUCCGAAGAAAUUUGGUCUAAUACCCCAUAAUAUUCCGACAGGCAUCUGUCGGAGUUGAAAGCUUCGGUGGUUGGAGAUGGGCAUGCGUUGUAUUAGCUAGAUGGU